rnacentral:rRNA from 1 species
UCCACAGUGUAACCCACCGAAGCUUUGCCGCAGCGACUCUAAACAAUUGCACCAGUCCGCUCUGCGGGCAACACCAUGAUCUCACUGGGACCUCCAUCCUGCCUGCCGGGUGUGGACACCAGUGGCCUGUUCAGCACAGGUUCACAGAUCAAACAAUGGUGGCCAACAGCUCGGCUCGCCUGAACUGGUUGGUUAAGAUAUGACCGGUCUCCACUGUAACCAGCUGGAGGGCACACGUUCCGUAGGUGAACCUGCGGAAGGAUCAUUACAGAGUUAGGGUCUUCCGGGCCCAACCUCCAACCCUAUGUGUACCUACCUUUGUUGCUUUGGCGGGCCUGUCGAGGCAACUCACCGAUGGCCGCAGGCUGUCGAGUGCCCGUCAAAGGCCCAUCAAACUCCGUUAAUUGUGCUGUCUGAGUACCAAUACAAUAGUUAAAACUUUCAACAACGGAUCUCUUGGUUCUGGCAUCGAUGAAGAACGCAGCGAAAUGCGAUAAGUAAUGUGAAUUGCAGAAUUCAGUGAAUCAUCGAAUCUUUGAACGCACAUUGCGCCCCUCGGUAUUCCAAGGGGCAUGCCUGUUCGAGCGUCAUUACACCACUCAAGCUUGGCUUGGUAUUGGGCCUUCGUCCCCCGUGGACGUGCCUGAAAAUUAGCGGCGGCACAGCCUCAGCUUCAAGCAGCAUCAGUUUCAUCUUUCGCUUUGGAAGCUCGGGUCUGAGUCAGCCGAACAACCCUCAUGUUUUCUAAAGGUUGACCUCGGAUCAGGUAGGGAUACCCGCUGAACUUAAGCAUAUC